AACGAACGCUGGCGGCGUGCCUUACACAUGCAAGUCGAACGAGAAAGUCCCUUCGGGGGCGAGUAAAGUGGCGGACGGGUGAGUAUCGCGUGGGUAAUCUACCUUCCAGUGGGGGACAACCUGCCGAAAGGCGGGCUAAUACCGCGUAACACGGCUGGUUCAUAUGGGCCGGUCGUCAAAGGCGGCCUCUGCUUGCAAGCUGUCGCUGGAAGAUGAGCCCGCGUCCCAUUAGCUAGUUGGCGGGAUAACAGCCCACCAAGGCAACGAUGGGUAGCCGACCUGAGAGGGUGACCGGCCACACUGGGACUGAGAUACGGCCCAGACUCCUACGGGAGGCAGCAGUGGGGAAUAUUGCGCAAUGGGCGAAAGCCUGACGCAGCAACGCCGCGUGAGCGAUGAAGGCCUUCGGGCCGUAAAGCUCUGUCGUAGGGAACGAAAAGCACGGCUCCAACAGGGCCGUGUCAUGACGGUACUCUGCAAGAAAGCCCCGCCAACU
rnacentral:rRNA from 1 species